rnacentral:rRNA from 1 species
AUUGAACGCUGGCGGCAGGCCUAACACAUGCAAGUCGAGCGGAUGAAGGGAGCUUGCUCCUGGAUUCAGCGGCGGACGGGUGAGUAAUGCCUAGGAAUCUGCCUGGUAGUGGGGGAUAACGUCCGGAAACGGGCGCUAAUACCGCAUACGUCCUGAGGGAGAAAGUGGGGGAUCUUCGGACCUCACGCUAUCAGAUGAGCCUAGGUCGGAUUAGCUAGUUGGUGGGGUAAAGGCCUACCAAGGCGCCGAUCCGUAACUGGUCUGAGAGGAUGAUCAGUCACACUGGAACUGAGACACGGUCCAGACUCCUACGGGAGGCAGCAGUGGGGAAUAUUGGACAAUGGGCGAAGGCCUGAUCCAGCCAUGCCGCGUGUGUGAAGAAGGUCUUCGGAUUGUAAAGCACUUUAAGUUGGGAGGAAGGGCAGUAAGUUAAUACCUUGCUGUUUUGACGGUACCAACAGAAUAAGCACCGGCUAACUUCGUG